GCCAUGGUUUACAGAGAAAAUAUAGAAAGUGAUUCAGAGGAUGAGGAGGAGGAAUAAAGGACCAGAAAUCUGCAAACCCCAUAAGACACCUGGGAGAGCAGAGAUCUUGGCCCUGGGAUACGGGAGAGAUGAUACCUGCAGUGCACAGAAGCUGCGAUUAACCUGUAAGACUCGAAGCAGGAGCUUGUUUUUCAGUUCAAAAGACAUAACUGUCUAUAUUGUAUAGAAUUUGCAGAUUUAUAUGUUCUUUGUUUAAUAAUUUUAAUAUUAGUACUUCAUGUUAAAUUUUUAUAUUAAAUUAUAUUUACUUAGUAA